UCCCUUGUGGCUCAGAUGGUAAAGCGUCUGCCUACGGUGCAGGAAACCCAGGUUUGAUCCCUGGGUCAGGAA
rnacentral:tRNA from 1 species